rnacentral:rRNA from 1 species
UGGGCUUGACAUGUUGGGAAAAGCCGUAGAGAUACGGUGUCCAUUAGGGCCCUUCAU